GUAGCAUAAUCAUUAGGUUUUUAAUUGGAAUCUUGUAUGAAUGAUUGGACAAAAGAAGUACUGUCUUUGUAUUGAAACUUGAAUUUAACUUUUAAGUGAAAAGGCUUAAAUAUACUAAAGGGACGAUAAGACCCUAUAAAACUUUACAUUUAUAUUAAAUUUUAUGGAAUUUGAAAUUAUAACUAUUAAGUUUAAUUUUUUGUUAUGUUGGGGAGACAAAAGCUAUAAUUAUUUAUAACUGCUUUUAAAGGAAACAAAAAUAAAUGGGGAGAGUUAAAGAUCCUUUAUUGAGAUUGUAAGAUUAAGUUACUUUAGGGAUAACAGCGUUAUUUUUUUUGAGAGUUCAUAUUGAAAAAAAAGAUUGCGACCUCGAUGUUGAAUUAAAAUAUCUUU
rnacentral:rRNA from 1 species